rnacentral:rRNA from 1 species
GACGAACGCUGGCGGCGUGCUUAACACAUGCAAGUCGAACGGAAAGGCCCUGCUUUUGUGGGGUGCUCGAGUGGCGAACGGGUGAGUAACACGUGAGUAACCUUCCCUUUACUUUGGGAUAACUUCAGGAAACUGGGGCUACUACCGGAUAGGAGCUCCUGCUGCAUGGUGGGGGUUGGAAAGUUUCGGCGGUUGGGGCUGGACUCGCGGCUUGUCAGCUUGUUGGUGGGGUAGUGGCUUACCCAGGGUUUGACGGGUAGCCGGCCUGAGAGGGUGACCGGCGACAAUGGGCCUGAGAUACGGCCCAGACUCCUACGGGAGGCAGCAGUCGGGAAUAUUGCACAAUGGGCCGACGCCUGAGGCAGAGACGCCCCGUGCGUGAUGACGGCCUUCGGGUUGUAAACCGCUUUCGCCUAAGACGAAGCGUGAGUGACGGUAAUGGGUGAAGAAGCACCGGCUAACUACGUG